GUGGUGGAUUUGGAAGGAGGAUGGAAAAGUUGCGUUGGUGAAUGACGGAGACGGUUCAUGGGAACCAUCGAGGAUGUUUGGAAGCAAAGACGUUUGGCUAAGAAGGCUCCUCCGGGACCGAAGCAACAACACUUGCACCGGAAGAGGCAGACAGUGGCGUGGCCAUGGUCAAGCGGCAUUUUGUCGGGAAGUUCGAGAUACCGGUGGACAGAACGGUCUCCCCGCAUUGGAGACGGCUUUGCCGUCACCCCGACCUACACCACGUCAGGGAUCUAAAGGCCAAGUUCAAGGCGACACGUGACAUGUCGACACGGUACUGGCUGUCCACUUUCUCGGGAUCACGCCGCAGGCCUUUCUGCCUGACGAGAUCGUCACAUACACCACUUGUGUCGGCAUGUUUGACAUCGCGACAAAGUUCCCUUCCUGGCGGACUCGGCGAGGGAAGUUCCCUCUAGGCGGACUUGACAGUACGCGCGUGUCGGCCUUAGUCGGCCUGCACAGACUUCGCGCUGGAACACCGCUGGUGUCGGCCUGGUCGACGUCGAGGGAACUUCCCUCGUGUGUGACUUGGCAAGGAACACCGCUAGUGGCGGACUUAACGCAAGAACACCGUUCGUGUCGGCCUGGUAGCGGGAUCUUCCCUCGUGUCGGACAUCACGUAAGAAGCCCGUUCGU